GGAUCUGAGAGAAUACUUGUCUGAAGAAGUACAGGCAGUACACAAGAAUACCACUUAUGACCUCAUUGCCAACAUUGUUUCACGAUGGCAAGCCCUCGGAGGGCUCCUACCGGAUCCAUGUACUUCAUCAUGGGACAGGCAAAUGGUAUGAAUUACAGGACCUCCAGGUGACUGACAUCCUUCCCCAGAUGAUCACGCUAUCAGAGGCUUACAUUCAGAUUUGGAAGAGGCGAGAUAAUGAUGAAACUAACCAGCAAGGAGCUUGAGGAGUGUCUAGGACUUUGCUCUAGGGCUUUUGACCAUAGAUGAUAAAUAAUAACUGAAGCUGUAACUGAACAUUCAUUGGGCAACCCACUUUUUAUGAAUCCUGGUACACAACAGAGCAGCA